UAAUAGCACAUUGUUGCGGUGAGCUGU
rnacentral:sRNA from 1 species